rnacentral:rRNA from 1 species
AGAGUUUGAUCCUGGCUCAGGACGAACGCUGGCGGCGUGCCUAACACAUGCAAGUCGAGCGAUGAAAAAGAAGUAUAUCUCUUCGGAGUGACACCUCUUUGGAUUAGCGGCGGACGGGUGAGUAACACGUGAGCAACCUGCCGUACACAUUGGGAUAGCCUCGGGAAACUGGGAUUAAUACCAAACGAAACAUAUUGAUAGCAUUAUCAAAAUGUCAAAGAUUUAUCGGUGUACGAUGGGCUCGCGUCUGAUUAGCUAGUUGGUGAGAUAAAAGCUCACCAAGGCAAUGAUCAGUAGCCGGCCUGAGAGGGUGAUCGGCCACAUUGGGACUGAGACACGGCCCAAACUCCUACGGGAGGCAGCAGUGGGGAAUAUUGCACAAUGGAGGGAACUCUGAUGCAGCGACGCCGCGUGAGCGAAGAAGGAAUUCGUUUCGUAAAGCUCUGUCCUAUGGGAAGAUAAUGACGGUACCAUAGAAGAAAGCCCCGGCUAACUACGUGCCAGCAGCCGCGGUAAUACGUAGGGGGCGAGCGUUGUCCGGAAUUAUUGGGCGUAAAGGGUUCGUAGGCGGUAAUACAUGCCAGAUGUGAAAUCUUGUGGCUUAACCACAUCAAGCAUCUGAAACUGUAUAACUUGAGUGGAGGAGAGGUAAGUGGAAUUCCUAGUGUAGCGGUGAAAUGCGUAGAUAUUAGGAAGAAUACCAGUAGCGAAGGCGACUUACUGGCCUCUAACUGACGCUGAUGAACGAAAGCGUGGGUAGCAAACAGGGAUUAGAUACCCUGUUAUUCCACGCGGUAAACGACGAAGUGCUAGGGGU